ensembl:lncRNA
AUGAGAAGGAGAAGAGAAUUGAUGGUGACAUGUACACACCUUCUGGAUGGUUGUAGGCAGAGCACACUCACACCUGAUCUGGGAGGGCCUGGUGAGUGCCUGUCACCCUUCUGGUUUGGAGAGAACAACUCAAAACGUCCUGGUUGGCAUCACUCUCAGUGACCUUCUGACACCAUUCAGACUGAGAGAGAAGAGCUGCUAAUUAAGGUCCAAGCCCAUCACAUAAUUGCUGGAAGAGAUCUCAGCCGGGGAAGUUUGAUUUAUUAGUUCCAACAGGCUUGCCCAGUGCCCCUUGCUGGACACACAGAGCAGGGGGCUCUGAAGGCUCCCAAGAGGCAGAUUAUCGUCAAAAAUCUCCUUGAGCUUUUUAUUAAUUGUUUUUGUGUCUGUCAGUGUUAUUGAGGGUGAUAUUUACAAAUCAUUUAUUGCUACUCAACAGACUGUUGAAAAACAUCUCCUUUACCAGGCAGGCUGAAUACACAAUUUUGUUGUGUUAGUCUAUAUUCUGUUCACAUCAGCCCUUAUCAGCAUUACAGAGCAUUUGUGCAUAGAAAAACCCAUUUCAUCUUCAUUCCCAGCCCAACAGGUUGAAGCCACAAUGAAAGUUUCAGAUGUGGGCUCCUGCUGAAACCAAUAUAACACAGCAAAAAAGGAAGGGGAAAAGAAUAUUACAGCAAUGUCACAGUGUCACUGUAAUCUAAGAGGUGUAAAACUUGUUCAUGGAGUGAAUGUGAUGGGAUUCAUAUCUGCAGCAUUGUUCAACAAAGAUAAAGCAGCUUAAACAUCCUCUAUCACUGAGUGUGGAAAAGACUGGAGCUGGCUUCCUCAAACAAAUCAUUGCUCAGGGGAAAGGGGGAGAGAUCCUAUUUCUGAGGCUUGUUUGGGAAACAGGAGUUCCAUUUCAUAAAGGUUGGGAAAUGUUUUUAAUUUCUUUUGUUAAUAGAACUCAUAAGUUUAAGAAUAUGCUGAUGGAAAAAAACCUAAUCUCUUGUUACAUCUCAGCGUAUAAAAACUUUUACCAGCCUGUGGGAGAAUGAUUGCCAGGUACAAUUUUGCAUCCACCCUUGCUCUUUUAAAGCUUCCAACCUUCUCAUGUGAAGAAAUGCCCAAAGAAACAGGGUUAUUAUUGAGUGGGUGAAUUGCUCCUUCCUUAAUUCCAUUCUGGUCUGAAUGACCUCCCUUGGAACUUCAGUGCAACACCUCUGCUUCUGUGAAUUAUCCUGAUGGGAAAUAGUUCCAUUUUGAUUUUUGACCAGUUUAUUUUCAGCAUCAGCUGGAGUCUCCUCGUUUUAAACACUGAAAGGAAACUCCUGUGCUACUGAUCCCAAAAGGGGUGAGCUCAGCUGAUCUAAUUUCAGGCUAAUGGAGAACAAGGAUUAUCACACAAAAACCCAGCCCCUGCAGCCACGUUUUGGGUGAGCGCUGGUAGGGGAGGCGCAGAGAGCUUGUGGAUGGUGCAGGAAGAGAUGCUACAGCAGGAACUCAUUAUCAGUAAGUGGAUUUACAUUUUCCAUGAAGUGAUGAAAGCAGCCUCUGCUGUGUUUGGGAUUUCCCAAAGUAAAUGGCAAUAAAUUAGUUGUGAGUGCAUUCCA